rnacentral:tRNA from 1 species
GGGGCCUUAGCUCAGCUGGGAGAGCGCCUGCUUUGCACGCAGGAGGUCAGCGGUUCGAGCCCCCUUGGCUCCA